AACCAGUUUUGUUCAUCUUUGUUUAGAAAGUUAAAAGAUCCUGAACAGCUUGAAAACCGACAGAAUUGACAGAAUUUUCCAUAUUUAGUGCUGGACAAGAGCCCAGAAAAGCCCUGCUCGGAGGACUGGGCUGUCCUCAUAGCUGCAGAGACACGCUCCUGUGUCAGCCAGGCAAUGAAGCUGAGGGAAAUACAAUGCACCCACAGCAUGAAGGCUUCACAGAGAACCAGGGCUGCUGCAGAGUUCGGUCCCCAGGGCUACAUAGACACAUGCUCUGGGUGCUUUAGGAUUUCCAAAAAGGGAUAAGCACAAAAUGAAGCAGGAAGGAGUGAGUUACGGAACACCACUCUGAUGCACCUCCACCCAGCUGAGACCCCUGGUCCACCAAGCCAGCACUUCAAUUUGCAGAGGAAUAAUCAUUGCAAAGCACCAAUUGAACCGGUAGCACAGCAGGUGGGCCAAGGCCAACACGUGCAAGCUCAGGGCUCAGGAGAACAGUGUCACUCUAACUUUUACAUGGCUUUAAUACAGCAAAUU